rfam:Rhodotorula sp. JG-1b unplaced genomic scaffold RHOSPscaffold_11, whole genome shotgun sequence.
GGAGCGAUAGCCAAGUGGUCAACGGCGUGGAGCUUAAGCCUCCCUCUCUUACGAGUUCGUGGGUUCGAAUCCCACUCGCUCCA